rnacentral:rRNA from 1 species
CCUACGGGUGGCAGCAGUGAGGAAUAUUGGUCAAUGGACGAGAGUCUGAACCAGCCAAGUAGCGUGAAGGAUGACUGCCCUAUGGGUUGUAAACUUCUUUUAUAUGGGAAUCAAACGUUCCACGUGUGGGAUUUUGUAUGUACCAUAUGAAUAAGGAUCGGCUAACUCCGUGCCAGCAGCCGCGGUAAUACGGAGGAUCCGAGCGUUAUCCGGAUUUAUUGGGUUUAAAGGGAGCGUAGGUGGAUUGUUAAGUCAGUUGUGAAAGUUUGCGGCUCAACCGUAAAAUUGCAGUUGAAACUGGCAGUCUUGAGUACAGUAGAGGUGGGCGGAAUUCGUGGUGUAGCGGUGAAAUGCUUAGAUAUCACGAAGAACACCGAUUGCGAAGGCAGUUCACUGGACUGCAACUGACACUGAGGCUCGAAAGUGUGGGUAUCAAACAGGAUUAGAUACCCUUGUAGUC